rnacentral:lncRNA from 1 species
CUCUCUCCAUGCCCCCGGCUGCUGCGGGUUGGUAAAGCGGGGAUUUGAUUUCGUGGGAGGUUAAGGCGGAGCUGGCGAUGGGGGAGAGUGGGGGUGGUGAGCCACCAGUGAUAAUAGAAUGGGAAAGGCCCAGUUGCGACGUCCCUUGGGCAAAUAAGCCCCCGUUGAUGUUGAAGUAGUCGGAGAGAAUAGGGCUGGCUCGGAAACCUACAUUCAAUAGCAUUCCGCUAGUUUUUGCAUAGAAAGGCUUUAGGAUCAGCAAGAGGGUGGGAACUGGGGUCCGCUUCUGGAAGCUUCGUUGUUUAGCAACCCCACUGCGGAGCCUAUUUGGUGGGAUUGAUAGCCAUUUGUUGGCUCCUAGGUCUACCUCCUCUUCUCCAGCCCAGCCUUGCGGAAAUGAGGAUGAUGACGUGGGAAACACUAGUCACGCUUUAGCUUUUUGAGAUAAUGGAGCUCUGCUUUCUGAAAAAGGCUAGUGUGAAUAUGUCAACGUCUGUAUUCCGUACCUGCCCUGUUUGUGCUUCUUGUCACUCUAAACAAACGGAUUUCUUCAAUAUUAUACCUUUUUUUUUUUUUCUGAGAUGGAGUGUCGCUCCGUUGCCCAGACUGGAGUGCAGUGGCGCGAUCUCUGCUUACUGCAGCCUUCGCCUCCCAGGUUCAAUCGAUUCUCCUGCCUCAGCCUCCGGAGUAGCUGGGAUUACAGGCAUGUGCCACCACGCCCAGCUAAUUUUUGUAUUUUUAGUAGAUACUGGGUUUCACCAUGUUGGCCAGGCUGGUCUGGAACUCCUGACCUCGUGAUCCGCCCGGUUUGGCCUUCCAAAGUUCUGGGAUUACAGGCGUGAGCCACCGUGCCUGGCCUAAACAAACGGAUUUAUGUCGUUCCCUGUUCAAAAACAACUUUGUUGGCUAAGCUGCAAAAUAGCACCAUUUCCGUCAGUUUAUUGUGAGAAUUACAUAUACGGGCUUAGCGCGGUACCCAACAAUGAAUAAGUGCUCAAUGAACUUUAGACGAUAAAUCUCAAAGUCCUUAGCCUGGUAUUUAAAUCCUUCCACAAACAGCCCUUAGCCUACCUGCAUCCCCUAUGUAAACCUUUAUCCUCCUACGCAAACCUUUGUCUCCAUGACUUUUCUUUUUUUUUUUUUUCUUUCUGAGACGGAGUUUCCCUCUUAUUAACCAGGCUGUAGUGCAAAGGCGCGAUCUCAGCUCACUGCAACCUCUGCCUCCCAGGUUCAAGCGAUUCUCCUGCCUCAGCCUCCCGAGUAGCUGGGAUUACAGGCAUGUGACACCACACCGGGCUAAUUUUUGUGUUUUUGUAGAGAUGGGGUUUCUUCAUGUUAGUCAGGCUGGUCUUGAACUCCCGACCUUAGGUGACCCGCUGGCCUCGGCCUCCCAGAGUGCUGGGAUUACAGGCGUGAGCCACUGCGCCCAGCCUGUCUCCAUGGCUUUUCUAAGCCCUCCCCUGCCCGGGUUCCACACCCCACCAAUUCCGGGCCCCUCUCCAUUUAUCUGACUUCCAUUUCUCCUUCAGUCUUUUUAACACAACCCCUUCUCUGACAACAGAAACCCACAAAAACCUUCCUUAUUCCAGUUGAAUAUACACCAUCUUGUCACGACUACUUCUCGCAAGCUUGUCCAACCUGUCUUAUUUUGUUGUUGUUUUGUUUUGUUUUGUUUAGGCUUUUAGCACCCUGAAGCCAUGGUUUUUAGUUUCAGUCUCUAGUGAUAAGUGGAAAAGGGGGAUGAGGAAGGGGCUUUACUGGCCCAACCAGAAACAGAAACUAAGAACCCAUGACUGUAUUCACUCCCUUGGACACCAUUGCUAAAUUGUAAAAAGGGACAAGGGCUUCUUUGGACCCCACCCCACCAAAACUGUCCUGUACACUUUUAAAUUUUUUAUUGAAUAUAAAAUACGUACUUUUUUUAAAUUAUUUUUUUGAGACAGUCUCGCUCCGUAGCCAGGCUGGAGUGCAGUGGCACAGUCUCAGCUCACUGCAACCUCUGCCUCUUGGGUUCAAGCGAUUCCCCUGCCUCAGCCUCCUGAGUUGCUGGGACUCGGUGUGCCAUCACGCCCAGCUACUUUUUUGUAUCUUAGUGGAGAUGGGGUUUCACCAUGUUGGCCAGGAUGGUCUCGAUCUCCUGACCUUAUGAUCCUCCUGCCUUGGCCUACCAAAGUGCUGGGAUUACAGGCAUGAGCCACUGCGCCCAGCCAAUUUUUUGUUGUUGUUGUUGUUAUGAGACCAAGUCUCACUCUGUCACCCAGGCUAGAGUGCAGUGGUGCAGUCUCAGCUCACUGCAGCCUCCACCUCCUAGAUUGAAGCGAUUCUUCUGCCUCAGCCUCCCAAGUAGCUGGGUUUACAGGCGCAUACCACUAUGGCCGGCUAAUUUUUGUAUAUUUAGUAGGGAUGGGGUUUCACCAUGUUGGCCAGGCUGUUCUCGAACUCCUGACCUCAGGUGAUCCACCCGCCUCGGCCUCUCAAAGUGCUGGGAUUACAGACGUGAGCCACUGCGCCCAGCCUGCAC